rnacentral:rRNA from 2 species
GGAUGAGAUAAUACCAGCACUAAAGCACCGGAUCCCAUCUGAACUUUGAAGUUAAGCAUGCUUGGGCGAGAGUAGUACUAGGAUGGGUGACCUCCUGGGAAGUCCUCGUGUUGCAUUCC